rnacentral:rRNA from 1 species
AACGAACGCUGGCGGCGCGCUUAACACAUGCAAGUCGAGCGGUCUCGCAAGGGACAGCGGCGAACGGGUGCGUAACACGUGGGUAAUCUGCCCUGAAGUGGGGGAUAACUCGCCGAAAGGCGAGCUAAUACCGCAUAAGCUCACGGCCUCCUUGGAGGCUGAGAGAAAAGGAGCAAUUCGCUUCAGGAUGAGCCCGCGGCCCAUCAGCUAGUUGGCGGGGUAACGGCCCACCAAGGCAACGACGGGUAGCUGGUCUGAGAGGACGACCAGCCACACUGGAACUGAGACACGGUCCAGAUUCCUACGGGAGGCAGCAGUGGGGAAUCUUGCGCAAUGGGCGAAAGCCUGACGCAGCGACGCCGUGUGUGCGAUGAAGGUUUUCGGAUCGUAAAGCACUGUCGCCCGGGAAAAAUCAAUGAUGGUACCGGGAGAGGAAGCACCGGCUAACUCUGUGCCAGCAGCCGCGGUAAUACAGCAGGGUGCGAGCGUUGUUCGGAAUUAUUGGGCGUAAAGCGCUGAGUAGGUGGCUUGUUAAGUCGCAGCUGUGAAAUCUCCAGGCUCAACCUGGAAAGUGCGCGCGAAACUGGCGGGACUUGAGUGCCGGUAGAGGGUCGUGGAAUUCCACGGUGUAGUAGGUGAAAUUCGUAGAUAUCGUGGAGGAACACCAGACGGCGAAGGCAGACGACCUGGAAGGUACACUGACACUGACGCAGCGAAAGCGUGGGGAGCAAACAGGAUUAGAUACCCUGGUAGUCCACGCCGUAAACGAUG